GCGGGGGUGGUGGAAUUGGCAGACACGUAGGUCUCAGAAGCCUAUGGCUGCAAAGCCUUGAGGGUUCAAAUCCCUCCUCCCGCACCA
rnacentral:tRNA from 1 species